CAUUGGUUUCUUUUUGGUAUUGAGCUACAUUACACCUACAUACAUCUAUAAUUGACUUCGUAUGGAACAAUUUUCAACAAAAUUAAAGUUGCUAAUUAGAAUCGCGUUUUUAAAAUUAAUUGAAACUAAGUGAACUUUUACUCGAUUGUGACGUCGCUAAUUGCAUCUAAAAAUGAAAGUGGAAAUUCCAGGACAAUAAAUAUAGCAAUCUUUUCAAAAGAACUGGGUCAAUGAUGCAUCUUACAGUAAGUUGAUAAUGAAUUCGCGUUUCGUGUGUUUCAUAGCCAUGAAAUUUCUACAGAUAUUUCUUUUCCAGUGUGUAAUGGCAUACCAGGAUAGGUGCCCUCAGUUUAUAGAACGAUAUCUACACAUUAAUUAUACGCUUACACGUGGUAAAUGUUCAGAGGAAAAGCCAUUUCAUUGUUUACUGAAGGACAAUACUGAGACUUUAAAACAAAGUUAUUACAAGAACUGCAAUUCAUGGGACUGGGUUUCUAAAGGUUUCCAUCCUGUGCUUCGUGGGAAGUACAUUGACUAUGAAAAGUGUCAAGCUGACAGAUACCAACCAUUUAAUUUCUUAUCCAAUGAGAACCACCAAUGCUACUUUGUCAAAUCAUACUGCGCAGAAGAGGGUCAAAUAGAACACAGGAUAGGUGAUGAAACGUCAGAUCGUACAUGCAAGUGCGAUUAUACUAGACGAUAUGCUUUCCAUACAAUUCCAAGAAACAAAGUGUUCUGCUUACCGUCAGAAGAGGAGUGUACAUGCUUUAAACAAACUUGUCCAACGAAACAAAUGAUGAAUGAAGAAUAAGGAAACAUGCAUCUAAUGGCAUAUGUUUUGGUGAGAUUCUUUUAAUAAAACUCAUAAGGAAUAAAUGAUAUUUUCUGAAAAGUUCUGUUGGUCUUAUAAGUAGUUUUUGCUAAUAAAACUAAUAAUUACUCGUUACUUUAUGCUUAGUAGUUAUAAUAGUUUUAUAUCUCUUCUGUAAAAUAAAGAAAUAAAAAUCUGUCAUCUUCAUCUUUCGUAACAUCUGAUUGCGAACAUGUAGAGUGACUCUGUGUGGAUUGCUUUAAAGAUACUUCUGUAGAACCAACUUUACUGAAAAUUAUAAUAACCAGUUAUUAGGUAUUGGUAAAACCAUAUAAGGGUUUUCUUUCUAUUUAAUAUAAAAAUCAUCCGUUUGUUUUAAAGGUUUUUGUAAGGUCGGCUUAAUUCGCACUCAAUAUUUGCAAAUUUUAAAUUCAGUUGUCG